UUCAAAAUCCUUUUUCCACUUGCAAUUUAAUAAACUGCAGUUCAAAAUCCUUUUUCCACUUGCAAUUUAAUAAACUGCAGUUCAAAAUCCAUUUCCCUUUCCUGUUCGCUCCGGGAUUAGCUCCUGGAUUAGCUCUUCGAUUAACAACUUGCUGGAGGCUAUUCAAAUUAGCCACACCGUGGGAUGUAAGGAGCUCUCUGAUUGGUUGGUCAGACACAGGCUGUCUGCCAGCCUGGAUUUUUCUAGCUCAUAGCUUCGCCCUGCUAAGAAGCGUGUGUGCUUGUACAAAGGCCGUUCAGCCUCGGGAUUUACACUUGGCUCGACACAGAUAUGUGAAGAAUGAAGGGACUCUGCAGCGAAACGGAGAGCCAACCUCUGACUGAGUGCCUGUCUACACAGUCUGACCACCUGUUGAAGGGCUGUUUGAUGACGAUUUGAACUCCUCUGGGAGAUGAGGACACACCCACAUCUGUUCCAUACUGCAGCUAUGGAUGGUGUUACAGCUCUG